rnacentral:rRNA from 1 species
UACGGAGGGGGCUAGCGUUGUUCGGAAUUACUGGGCGUAAAGCGCGCGUAGGCGGACCUGCAAGUCGGGGGUGAAAGCCUGUGGCUCAACCACAGAAUUGCCUUCGAUACUGUUUGGCUUGAGACCGGAAGAGGUUAGUGGAACUGCGAGUGUAGAGGUGAAAUUCGUAGAUAUUCGCAAGAACACCAGUGGCGAAGGCGGCUGACUGGUCCGGUUCUGACGCUGAGGCGCGAAAGCGUGGGGAGCAAACAGG